rnacentral:rRNA from 1 species
UACGUAGGGUGCGAGCGUUAAUCGGAAUUACUGGGCGUAAAGUGUGCGCAGGCGGCCGCGCAAGUCGAGUGUGAAAGCCCCGAGCUUAACUUGGGAACUGCGCUCGAAACUACGUGGCUGGAGUGUGGCAGAGGAAGGUGGAAUUCCAGGUGUAGCGGUGAAAUGCGUAGAGAUCAGGAGGAAUACCGAUGGCGAAGGCAGGUCUCUGGGCUGAUACUGACGCUCAUGCACGAAAGCGUGGGGAGCAAACAGG